UAUGAAGAAGAUAGGGUAGAAUUAAAGGCAUGCAUGGAUGAACAAAGCAUGACACUUGAGCAUUUACUGUGUAUACUGGGUUAAGUGAAAGAAUUUAAGUUUUUUUUUGUUUGUUUGUUUGUUUUCCUCUUCCUUUGAUGUCGUUCUAAUGCCCACACUCCAGUCUAGUAGGUGGCAGUAAUGCAUCUUUUAGAUGAGUUGCCCACCAGCAUUAAACUCGAAAGAAGAAGAAGAAGAAGAAGAAGCGGAGGAAGAAGAGAAAGAAGACCCUCUCUGUUUAUAAUCCAUGUGAUGUUCUGUUCUUAUCAGGACCGUGUUACAGCAAGAUCAAUGUGACAACUCAUACAGAUAGCUGGAGACACUUUAGGUGCAGUAAUGAAAUGGGACAAAGACACAGCAUAAAUGGCUGCCCACUGCUCCGGGUGUGUGUUCACUGGUGUGUGUGCACUUUGGAUGGGUUAAAUGCAGAGAACAAAUUCUGAGUAUGGGUCACCAUACUUAGCCGUAUGUCACAUCACUUUCACUUUCAGUGGAGGAGACAAUCAUUCAACAUGCUUCAGCUCUCCUUAAUCAUGCAGCAGUAAGAAAGGGAGGGAUUGAUGUUUAUUUAUUAUACACUGCAGUGUGAGUUAAUUUUCACUGUUUACAUCAAUUUUGGACACACACAGUGUCUAACUACAAAUAGAAAUUACAUUGAAAUAAAAGUGAGUUUUAACUGAA